AUGUUGAUAGAUUUGGAGACAUGUAGAAACAAAUUUUCCCUUUCCUUCCUUCCUUCCUUCUUUCCUUUCUUCCUUCCUUCCUUCCUUCCUCCCUCCCUCUCUUCCUUCCUCCCUCCUCCCUCCCUCCCUCUCUCUUCCUUCCUUCCUUUCUCCCUCCUUUUCUUCCCUCGUUCCUUCCUCCCUUCCUCUCUCUUCCUUCCUUCAUUCCCUCCUUCCUUCUUCCCUUCCUCUUUCUCUUCCUUCCUUCCUCCCUCCCCCCUCCCUUCCUUCAUUCCUUCCUUCCUUCCCUCCUUCCUUCCUUCUCCCUCCCUCCCUCCUUCCUUCCUUCCUUCCUCCUUCCUUCCUUCCUUCCUUCCUCCUUCCUUCCUUCCGUCCUUCCUUCCUCCUUCCUUCCUCCCUCCCUCCCUUCCUUCCUCCCUCCCUUCCUCUCUGUUCCUUCCUUCCUCCCUCUCUCUUCCUUCCUUCCUUUCUCCCUCCCUCUCUCUUUUCCUUCCCUCCUUCCUUCCUCCCUUCCUCUCUCUUCCUUCCUUCCUUCCUUCCUUCCUCCCUCCUUCCUUCCCUCCUUCCUUCCUUCUUCUCCCUCCCUCCUUCCUUCCUUCCUUCCCUCCCUCCUUCCUUCCUCCCUCCUUCCUCCCUCCUUCCUUCCUUCCCUCCCUCCUUCCUUCCUUCCCCCUUCCUUCCUCCUUCCUUCCUUUCUCCCUCCCUCCUUUCCUUCCUUCCUUCCCCCUUCCUUCCUCCCUUCCUCUCUCUUCCUUCCUUCCCUCCUUCCUUCCUCCCUUCCUCUCUCUCUUCCUUCCUCCCUCCUUCCUUCCCUCCUUCCUUCCUCCUUCCUUCCUUCCCCCUUCCUUCCUUCCUCCCUUCCUCUCUCAUUCUUCCUUCCCUCCUUCCUUCCUCCCUUCCUCUCUCUCUUCCUCCCUCCCUCCCUUCCUUCCCUCCCUCCUUUCCUUCCUUCCCUCCCUCCUUCCUCCCUUCCUCUCUCUCUUCCUUCCUUCCUUCCUUCCCUCCUUCCUUCCCUCCCUCCUUCCUUUUUCCCAUGCUUCAACACCUCCUCUCCUGUACUUUCCUCUGUAA
rnacentral:lncRNA from 1 species